CAAAACAGGUGAACUGCCUGAGCUCAUAAGUUCAAGACAAGCUUAAGCAAGAGUGAGACCCCAUCUCUAAAAAUAGCUGGGUGUUGUAACAGGCACCUGUGGUCCCAGCUACUUGGGAGACUGAGGCAAGAGGAUCGCUUGACUCCAAGACUUUGAGGUUACUGUGAGCUAUGAUGCCAUAAGCACUCUACCCAGAGGAUGAUCAAGACCAAGAAGGAGCACAAUGAAAUUAAGAGGUAUAAACCAAAAUAGCCCAAGGAGUAGUCUGAAUGAUGCCUAAUGGAGGGAAUCAGCUCUUGCCAUCAAGUGUAAAGCUCGAAAGUCUGGCAGACAAUAAUCCAGAAAAUAACUGUGGUGUUGGGGAAAAUGACCUAAGAACCAGUCAGGAAACUGAAAGUUAUAUGGGCCCUGUAUUUGUUCUUUUUAAAUGGGAAAAAGAGAAAAUGAAACUACAAAAUGUUUUAUUUGUGUGUUAGCUACACAGCCUGGGGCUAUUUUUCCUUUUCCCAAACAGUGUACAUUUUAGAGCUGACACAAAGAGGGGUGGCGUGUUGAGCUCCAACAAGCAAGCAAAUUUUUACUUGCGACAAAAAUACUGGACCAGAUGGCUCACAAAACAUGCCCAGAGCACAGUUAAAUGUUCACAGGAGGACCACUAAUGUAAGUGAGGAACUUGCUGGUUCUAUCUCUGUUUUUGUUUGCAUUCCACUUAGAACCAAGGUUUGGAAAUGCUCAGCAAAUCACCCCUGGGCAGAGUGACUCUUUGCUUAGCACUCUACCUAAGUGUUAACACCUGAGUGUGCUGAAGUCUAACAAUUACAGAGACAAAUCUCUAAGGCUAUAGAAUUUCACCAAAGGUAUUUCAAAAAUUGCUGGAUGCUUUGUAGAGGAACACUAGGAAAGCACUGACACAGGCCAGGUCAAGGCUGGAGUUGGAAAGCAUCAACAAGAAGUCAUGGAAACCAUCAGACCGCAUAACCAUGCACAGCUAGAGAACUGAGAGAUUUCUGUUCACUCUGUUCAGAGGAGAAGUACCCAUGCUUAUUUCUGGCUUCACUAUCACUAUCCUCCAAUGCUCUCCAGAGGACGGCUGCUGUUGCUUAUGUGUCUAUUGGUAUUGUUGCUUUAAAACUCUGGGAAAAUCAGUUUUUUAUUUCAUUUUAUGACUUGUGAAGAGAUACGUGGCCUUUUUUAAGAAAGUCUUUUCCCAAAAAACCAACUCUACAAAAUCCAUCCAAGGAUUUCAUCCACUCAUUCAGGCAAAGAGAACUAGCAAAUAUCUACAGCACCCUGGCACGGCUGAUCCCCCAUUCUAGAUGAUGCUUCUACCAGUUAACUCCUUUUCACCUGCCUUAAUCUUGAACACAAAGGUCUCUGACUAGCUACUGGCAAACAUCUUUGGCUGUGAAACCACCUGGAUAAAAAAUAACGGAGAAAAGGGUGGAAUCUCUGUCCACAAGUAAAGGUAGGAAAGGGUGGGUUUGAAAAAACUGAAUUAGGUAGGAUAAAUACUAUCCUCACUGAAAAUGUUUCCUUGUUCUAUUAGUGUUGCCAGUGAGAUGAUUUCAAAGACAAAGGCUUGGGCAUCAGUGGGUGAAUUCUAUAAUAAUAGCUGUCAAAACCAAAUUCAGUGCACCCUCCAUAGAUGACCAACUCCCUACAUUGAUCACACCCUUAAGUUGACAUAAUUUUCAUAGACCAGAAAUGCACCACAUGUACUUGUCAGUACAGUAGGCCCCUUUCCUUAUGUUGACCACCUCCGUAUGGUGACCAGUUUGUCACAGUCCUUUGGGUAGUUGACAUAACAGAGGUUGUACUGUAGUUGUUAAACUAUUUCUCCCUAGGUUGGCAAAUGUUAUGGUGCCCACACCUCAAAGCAAUCCCUUACUCCUACUGUCCUUUCCCUGGGGCCAUCUCAGGCCUCCCCAUAAUCUAACACCUAAAGGCGUGACAAGGAGACUGUGAAUAUCAACACCGAGGCUUCAGGCAGCUUCCUCAGCAGCUGGUAUGUCAUGCCCAGGCAUUACAUGAUCAGACCCCCACCCCUGGGAAGCUCUGCAGGACCAGUGAAAUGGGUUGGGCAAGCUUUCUCUCAUUUUCUGCCCAGUGUAACAAAAUGAAAAACAAAAACAGGAGCUCAACUUGGACUUUACCUAACAAAUGCAAACAAGGUACCUAAUUGUAUGUACCCUUAUAUUAAUCUGAAAUUUUUUUUAAAGGAUGGGGGGAAGGAAGAAAAUGGACUUUGGCCACUCAAAGAAACAUAAUUUAUUUGAACCAAGGAAGGCCCUCAGUUUAAGUUAAUGAAAUCUCAUGUCAAAAUAGGUUGCCUGGGGCCUUUGGGUGCUCUAGCCAAUCAGCUCACCUGCUGAUCAGCACUAAGGCUGGAACCUAACUUCAGCCUCACUCUCAGCCUACUGUGCUUUCCCCGUCUCUCUCUGCCUGUCGUAUUUUCAAAUGUAUGAAAAACUAGGAGGUGAACAAUAUGAGAUGAUCUUCCUUAAAAUACAAGAAGGACUCCUAAGGGAUGCACAGGUGACUGUUUAUUGGAAGCUUUUAACAUAUGAAUAAGGACUUCUUCCCUUAAGUUAAACCAUCCUACUAUCAUAUUGAUUAUACCACUCAUCUCGUUAACAGAAUCUUCCCUAACCUGUGCAAAGAUGUGACUCUACUAAUCAAUUUUUAACCAGGGCCACAUGAAAAAUUUCAUGAGCACGGAAAGUAGAGAAAAUAAAGGUUAAAAUUACAGGUUUCAAGAUACCUCUACAUACAUGCAACACAGAACAAAGAAAUGGCAGGCCUAGGAAAUGUUAUUUUUUUAAAACAAAGAUGAUGAAGAAGAGAGAAAAAGAAUAUGAGUAAGUGAUAAUCUAUUGACAACUUUUCCAAACCAUACAGGAUCCUUGGGCUUUUAAAAAUGACCCACAUUUACCCUGGAACUGCAGAAAAGCUGGCUCUGCAAAGUCAGAUGGUUCAGGCCACUGCGUCAUCCCUGUAUAUGGUUUCAAAAUGCUGCCUGAUAGCAUGGUAACCAUACACCAAUGAAUGUCCUACAAAAUGCCAUCAAGGCCUCCCCUGGGAAAAUCCCACGGAAUUUAACUCUAAUUCUAAGAUGUUCCCAAGGCUCUGAAAAUCAGGUCCUCAGUUGAAGGAGCCUCGGAGAAGGGGAAGACUUACAAUCAUCCACCCUGCCUGUUGACAAGACAGGGAAGGAAGAAAAGAAGAACCCAGGGACUUAAACAGGGUCACAGCUAGUGGCAGAGUGGGGAUUAGUAUCUGCUAUGGGGACUCCCAGUUCAAGGGCUCUUUCCUCUUUAUCUCACUGCCUCUUCUUUCCAGUCUUGAUAAGAACUGAAAUUUCUCACCAAUCGGUUGUUUUCACAAGGAGAGUUAUGCAUAACAAUUGUAUUAUGUUUUAAUCUGGAGAUCUGAGUACUGUACAUAAAUUAAAGAUUUGAGUCCUGGGUUUUUCCUUGUUUUAAGCUGACAUGGAAAUUGGCAGUUCCUACACUUUGCACUUCAGCAAAGUGGUCUCAACUGCCUUCAGA